rnacentral:rRNA from 1 species
CUUGGUCAUUUAGAGGAAGUAAAAGUCGUAACAAGGUUUCCGUAGGUGAACCUGCGGAAGGAUCAUUCAUAAUAAAGUGUUUUAUGGCACUUUUUUAAAAAAUCCAUAUCCACCUUGUGUGCAAUGUUUUUUAGAUCUAGCCAAAAUGAUAUUUUGGUUAGGUUUUAUUAUAUUACAUCAACUCUUAUUUAACUUGAUUUGUCUGAAAAAUAUUAUGAAUUUUUUAACUUAAUUCAAAAUACAACUUUCAACAACGGAUCUCUUGGCUCUCGCAUCGAUGAAGAACGCAGCGAAAUGCGAUACGUAAUGUGAAUUGCAGAAUUCAGUGAAUCAUCGAAUCUUUGAACGCAUAUUGCGCUCUCUGGUAUUCCGGAGAGCAUGUUUGUUUGAGUAUCAGUAAACACCCUCAGAGCUUUUUUUUUUCCUUGAUUUUCGAAUCUUGGGGCUCUGGAUUUGAGUGAUCCCAACGUGGUCUUUUUCGAAAGGACAUGGCGGGCCACUUGAAAUACAGGUGCAGCUGAACUUUCUUCUGAGCUAAAAGCAUAUUUAUUUAGUCCUGUCAGCACAUGUGCUGCCGGAUUAUUACUUCUGCUGCAGCUUACAUAAAGGUUGACUGUUCAAAUGCUGACUGAUACAGAAUUUUUAGCACAGAAAGCGCAAGCGGAUCUGUGCUGUUAAACUCGAUCUCAAAUCAAGUAAGACUACCCGCUGAACUUAAGCAUAUCAAUAAGCGGAGGA